rnacentral:rRNA from 1 species
UAGGGAAUCUUCGGCAAUGGGGGGAACCCUGACCGAGCAACGCCGCGUGAGUGAAGAAGGAUUUCGGUUCGUAAAACUCUGUUGUUAGAGAAGAACAGCGCAUAGAGUAACUGUUAUGCGUGUGACGGUAUCUAACCAGAAAGCCACGGCUAACUACGUGCCAGCAGCCGCGGUAAUACGUAGGUGGCAAGCGUUGUCCGGAUUUAUUGGGCGUAAAGCGAGCGCAGGCGGUCAAUUAAGUCUGAUGUGAAAGCCCCCGGCUCAACCGGGGAGGGUCAAUGGAAACUGGUUGACUUGAGUGCAGAAGAGGAGAGUGGAAUUCCAUGUGUAGCGGUGAAAUGCGUAGAUAUAUGGAGGAACACCAGUGGCGAAGGCGACUCUCUGGUCUGUAACUGACGCUGAGGCUCGAAAGCGUGGGUAGCAAACAGG